UAUACACAGGAAAGAAUAUACAAAUGUGUAAGUGGCAAAUACAACUGUACAACCUACUUCAAUAGUAUUUAUAAAGAUGUAAGUAAACCUAUGUUUGUGCAAGUUUCAAUAUAAGAACAGGCAUAAUG